GUCAGCGGCUGGAGCUCAAGGUCGGCUCAGGGGACUUUCUCGUGCUGGAGGUUGGCUGCGGAGCAGCCUGCAUUUCUCGGAAAACAGGGCCCAGGGCCUGCUCCACGCCGCUGUCCACGUCUUCACCAUCCCCUCGUUGCAGGUUCGAGGCCGAGCUCAGACCUGUGGAGCAGAAGCUGAGUGCGCUGCAGUCCCCGCUGGCCCAGAGGCCCUUCUUCGAGGUGCCCUCACCCCUGGGCGCCGUGGACCUGUACGAGUAUGCAUGCGGGGAUGAGGACCUGGAGCCACUGUGACGCCACCCAUGAGAACGCCGCUGCGGGGCCGCUCCACACGUGCCACGGCCACCACUGGGACACCGCCGCUUGUGUAAAAACUGUUGUCUUUUGUGGAAAAUGAGUGUGUUUGCAUGGAAUGAUAAAUUUUUAUUUAUUCACA